UAGGAUUAGAUACCCUAUUAUUAAAAUUUAAAUUGAAAAUACUAAAAUAGUAGAUAAUUAUUUAUUGAAACUUAAAUAAUUUGGCGGUAUUUUAGUUCAUUUAGAGGAAUCUGUUUAAUAAUUGAUAAUCCACGAAUAAAUUUACUUAAUUUUUUAUUUUGUAUAUCGUUGUUAAAAGAAUAUUUUUUAAUAAUAAUAAUAUUUAAAAAUUUUGAUUAAAAAUUAAAUCAGAUC
rnacentral:rRNA from 1 species